CCCGGACUUGCAAGGAGGGCGGUGAGCUACCAUCCUCACUCACGUCUUCACUGGAGACUUCAUUUUACCGAUGAUACUGUUCACACUGCAGCUUCUGCUCUCGGGGCUGACCAGUUGGGCACCUGCAACCCUUCAGGGACUCCAGCCAGACGCCUGGGGUCCCCCAUGACUCCUCCUGCCCCCCUCAUCCCCUGCAUCCGACCCACCGGUCCCCAGGCCUGACGGCUUUCCAGAAGUACAAACCAGAGCAAAGCCCCCCAGGACUUCUGGAGAGGACCUGCAGCUGAAGAAGCCCCUCCACUGAAAGCCACCUCCUCUUCCUCCUGGCAGGUGGCCUGAAAGAGGGCAGAGCUCUCCUAACAUGUGAGGGUAAGGGGGCCCUCUCCUUCUUCAGCCCUGGAUGUUAAGAGAUCUGCCCCAGGAACUGCUCCAAUGACAUCAUCAGGGAUAGGGAGCUGAGUAGAUUCAAGGAUGUUCCCUGGAGUGUUCCCUAUAAUAGGGAAGACAAGAGGAGAGGAGGGGCCCACUGGGAUCUCAGGCCUUUCCAGCUGUGACGUCUGCCGCGGGUCUGACUCCGGGGCUUUUUGACCUGGUCGCUGUGCCCCCAGCAGCGAAUGCUACCACAGCUCAAGGCACUGCCAAAGGACAGCCAGGUCAGACCUCCGUGGGGCUCCGCCAGACCAGCCCGGGAAUGUGGUUUGCCCCCAAGUCGUCCGGUCAACAACUACUGUUAAGAAACCACUGUGUGCAGGCCCUGGGCUGGGCACCGUGCCUGGUUCUGGGGACAAUCAGUUGAAUAAGACACGGGCCCCUAUCCUUAUCACAUCUACCAUCUUGUGGCAACAAUUAGAAGCCACUCGUUCUAGGACCUCAAUCAGGAAUUGCUCCUUAUUGCUGCUUUUCGGAACUGGCAUCUGCACAUCUCCAGCUGAUCAGUCAACAAACACUUAUUGAACACCUACUAGACACCAGGCUCUGUUUUAGGUGCUUGGGUCACAUCAGCGAACAAACAGUAGAAGUGUAAA